UACGGGAGGCAGCAGUAGGGAAUCUUCCGCAAUGGACGAAAGUCUGACGGAGCAACGCCGCGUGAGCGAAGAAGGCCUUCGGGUCGUAAAGCUCUGUUGUUAGGGAAGAACAAGUAACGCAGUAACUGGCGUUACCUUGACGGUACCUAACGAGAAAGCCACGGCUAACUACGUGCCAGCAGCCGCGGUAAU
rnacentral:rRNA from 1 species